GAACUGAAACUCAGAGGCAGUUGCUGGACAGAGUUGGUGGACUCCUCUAGAACAAGGAGAAUCUGCUUCUCUCUAGCAGUCAGGAAAGCCCAGAGGGUUUUUGUCUGGUAUCUCUGGGGUGGACCCAGAGAGCCUGUGGUUCCCUCUUCUUUGGCUUUCUUGAUAUUCUGCCUGUCCUUGCUGCUGCUGCUACUGCUGCUACAGAGAAGUGGAUUUCAACAAUGCUGGGAAACAAAUGGCCAUUGGCUCACAGGACCCCCUGUACAGACUGGGAUUGUGCUGAGGCUGGCUGCUCGGAAACAUAAGCUCCCCAACCAAAGGAGCUUUGACAGGGAUGGAAGAAUGAUCAUUCCUAGCCUGAAGCUGGGGGCAGGAGAGUUUAGAUGAGCGCAGCUUGAGCCAAGUGGAUAGGCUCCCAAGUGCUCUGGAGGAAGCAAGACCAAUGAGUCAGAGCGUAUGAAUGAAAAUACAUCGAGUAUUGGAAGGGUUGGCCAGGAAUGCCUUGUCAUCAGGAGGAAGCCAUAUAACAGUGAGUGCCAGAAGAUGGAGAGUGAAAAAGGAAAAAGGUUAAGAAGAAAAUAAGGCAUACCAGAGAACACCCUGGAAAGAUGGGUAGAUCUGGAGUAGCAUAUUAUGGGAC
rnacentral:lncRNA from 1 species